UUCAAUCUGUGAUUUAUCAAAGGAGUGGAUGAAAUCCCUAUGUUCCAGAGUCCUUAGCUUGGUAAAAUCGCACCCCCGGAUAAGUACAAUCACCAUCAUCGGAAUUGGCACUGGCACCGUUGUCUACCUUCUGUAUCGUAUUUGGAAAUCAAAAGGUAAGAAUUUCAAACAUCCUUGCU